GACGAACGCUGGCGGCGUGCCUAAUACAUGCAAGUCGAACGAACUCUGGUAUUGAUUGGUGCUUGCAUCAUGAUUUACAUUUGAGUGAGUGGCGAACUGGUGAGUAACACGUGGGAAACCUGCCCAGAAGCGGGGGAUAACACCUGGAAACAGAUGCUAAUACCGCAUAACAACUUGGACCGCAUGGUCCGAGUUUGAAAGAUGGCUUCGGCUAUCACUUUUGGAUGGUCCCGCGGCGUAUUAGCUAGAUGGUGGGGUAACGGCUCACCAUGGCAAUGAUACGUAGCCGACCUGAGAGGGUAAUCGGCCACAUUGGGACUGAGACACGGCCCAAACUCCUACGGGAGGCAGCAGUAGGGAAUCUUCCACAAUGGACGAAAGUCUGAUGGAGCAACGCCGCGUGAGUGAAGAAGGGUUUCGGCUCGUAAAACUCUGUUGUUAAAGAAGAACAUAUCUGAGAGUAACUGUUCAGGUAUUGACGGUAUUUAACCAGAAAGCCACGGCUAACUACGUGCCAGCAGCCGCGGUAAUACGUAGGUGGCAAGCGUUGUCCGGAUUUAUUGGGCGUAAAGCGAGCGCAGGCGGUUUUUUAAGUCUGAUGUGAAAGCCUUCGGCUCAACCGAAGAAGUGCAUCGGAAACUGGGAAACUUGAGUGCAGAAGAGGACAGUGGAACUCCAUGUGUAGCGGUGAAAUGCGUAGAUAUAUGGAAGAACACCAGUGGCGAAGGCGGCUGUCUGGUCUGUAACUGACGCUGAGGCUCGAAAGUAUGGGUAGCAAACAGGAUUAGAUACCCUGGUAGUCCAUACCGUAAACGAUGAAUGCUAAGUGUUGGAGGGUUUCCGCCCUUCAGUGCUGCAGCUAACGCAUUAAGCAUUCCGCCUGGGGAGUACGGCCGCAAGGCUGAAACUCAAAGGAAUUGACGGGGGCCCGCACAAGCGGUGGAGCAUGUGGUUUAAUUCGAAGCUACGCGAAGAACCUUACCAGGUCUUGACAUACUAUGCAAAUCUAAGAGAUUAGACGUUCCCUUCGGGGACAUGGAUACAGGUGGUGCAUGGUUGUCGUCAGCUCGUGUCGUGAGAUGUUGGGUUAAGUCCCGCAACGAGCGCAACCCUUAUUAUCAGUUGCCAGCAUUAAGUUGGGCACUCUGGUGAGACUGCCGGUGACAAACCGGAGGAAGGUGGGGAUGACGUCAAAUCAUCAUGCCCCUUAUGACCUGGGCUACACACGUGCUACAAUGGAUGGUACAACGAGUUGCAAACUCGCGAGAGUAAGCUAAUCUCUUAAAGCCAUUCUCAGUUCGGAUUGUAGGCUGCAACUCGCCUACAUGAAGUCGGAAUCGCUAGUAAUCGCGGAUCAGCAUGCCGCGGUGAAUACGUUCCCGGGCCUUGUACACACCGCCCGUCACACCACGAGAGUUUGUAACACCCAAAGUCGGUGGGGUAACCUUUUAGGAACCAGCCGCCUAAGGUGGGACAGAUGAUUAGGGUG
rnacentral:rRNA from 2 species